rnacentral:rRNA from 1 species
GUACGAGAGGACCGGAGUGGACGCAUCACUGGUGUUCGGGUUGUCAUGCCAAUGGCAUUGCCCGGUAGCUAAAUGCGGAAGAGAUAAGUGCUGAAAGCAUCUAAGCACGAAACUUGCCCCGAGAUGAGUUCUCCCUGAGACUAUAAGUCUCCUGAAGGAACGUUGAAGACGACGACGUUGAUAGGUCGGGUGUGUAAGUGUAGCGAUACAUUGAGCUAACCGAUACUAAUGAACCGUGAGGCUUAACCUU